rnacentral:rRNA from 1 species
GACGAACGCUGGCGGCGUGCUUAACACAUGCAAGUCGAACGAAGUGGCGAACGGGUGAGUAAUACGUGGGUAACCUGCCCUCCUUUUUGGGAUAAGCCUUGGAAACGGGGUCUAAUACCGCAUAAAGGGGGAUGGGCUCGCGGUCUAUCAGCUUGUUGGUGGGGUGAUGGCCUACCAAGGCGGUGACGGGGAGCCGGAAUGAGAGGGUGACCGGCCACAUUGGAAGUGGGAAACGGCCCAGGGUGCGACGGGAGGCAGCAGUGGGGGAUAUGGCGCAAAGGGCGAUGGCCUGAUGCAGCGAGGCCGCGUGGGGGAUGAAGGCUUUCGGGUUGUAAACCUCUUUCGGAAACGAACGGGUAGGUGGAGAAGAAGCGCCGGCUAACUACGUGCCAGCAGCCGCGGUAAUAC